AGUGAACGCUGGCGGUAGGCCUAACACAUGCAAGUCGAACGGCAGCACAGUAAGAGCUUGCUCUUACGGGUGGCGAGUGGCGGACGGGUGAGGAAUACAUCGGAAUCUACUUUUUCGUGGGGGAUAACAUAGGGAAACUUACGCUAAUACCGCAUACGACCUACGGGUGAAAGCAGGGGAGCUUCGGACCUUUCGCGAUUGAAUGAGCCGAUGUCGGAUUAGCUAGUUGGCGGGGUAAAGGCCCACCAAGGCGACGAUCCGUAGCUGGUCUGAGAGGAUGAUCAGCCACACUGGAACUGAGACACGGUCCAGACUCCUACGGGAGGCAGCAGUGGGGAAUAUUGGACAAUGGGCGCAAGCCUGAUCCAGCCAUACCGCGUGGGUGAAGAAGGCCUUCGGGUUGUAAAGCCCUUUUGUUGGGAAAGAAAAGCAGCAGGUUAAUACCCCGCUGUUCUGACGGUACCCAAAGAAUAAGCACCGGCUAACUUCGUG
rnacentral:rRNA from 1 species